CAGUUCAACGACUAAACGGUGAUGGGCUUGGUGCAUGGCCGUUCUUAGUUGGUGGAGUGAUUUGUCUGCUUAAUUGCGAUAACGAACGAGACCUUAACCUGCUAAAUAGCCCGUAUUGCUUUGGCAGUACGCCGGCUUCUUAGAGGGACUAUCGGCUCAAGCCGAUGGAAGUUUGAGGCAAUAACAGGUCUGUGAUGCCCUUAGAUGUUCUG
rnacentral:ncRNA from 1 species